rnacentral:rRNA from 1 species
CCUACGGGAGACAGCAGUCGGGAAUAUUGCGCAAUGGAGGAAACUCUGACGCAGUGACGCCGCGUGCAGGAAGAAGGUUUUCGGAUUGUAAACUGCUUUAGACAGGGAAGAAAAAAGACAGUACCUGUAGAAUAAGCUCCGGCUAACUACGUGCCAGCAGCCGCGGUAAUACGUAGGGGGCAAGCGUUAUCCGGAUUUACUGGGUGUAAAGGGAGCGUAGACGGAAAGGCAAGUCAGAAGUGAAAACCCAAGGCUCAACCAUGGGACUGCUUUUGAAACUGUCAAACUAGAGUACGGGAGAGGUAAGAGGAAUUCCUAGUGUAGCGGUGAAAUGCGUAGAUAUUAGGAGGAACACCAGUGGCGAAGGCGUCUUACUGGACCGAAACUGACGUUGAGGCUCGAAAGCGUGGGGAGCAAACAGGAUUAGAUACCCCAGUAGUC